rnacentral:rRNA from 1 species
UACGAAGGGGGCUAGCGUUGUUCGGCAUUACUGGGCGUAAAGCGCGCGCAGGCGGCUAUCCAAGUCAGUGGUGAAAGCCCGGAGCUCAACUCCGGAACUGCCAUUGAAACUGUUUAGCUUGAGGAUGAGAGAGGUGAGUGGAAUUCCCAGUGUAGAGGUGAAAUUCGUAGAUAUUCGCAAGAACACCGGUGGCGAAGGCGGCUCACUGGCCCGGUACUGACGCUGAGAUGCGAAAGCGUGGGGAGCAAACAGG